GACAGCUAACGUAGACAUCGAAACGCAUACAGAAUUGCUUAUCAAGGAUGUUGGAGGUCAGGGUGCUAAAUUACCCAAACGCAAGCGGAUGAAAAUCAAACACUUUCCGCUGUUCAUAAUUGGCAUCUCUAUAGUGCAAGUAACGCUUAUGUAUACCAUGGAUAAGAAACUGCUGGCUAUGAUUUUCGGAAUCGAUCCACAUCGACGACACGAAAUUUGGCGAUUUCUCACUAUCAUGCUUGUUCAUACUGGAGCUCCUCAUCUAUGGAUGACAAUUACCUUGCAACUAAUACUGGGCGUUCUACUCGAGAUCGUACACAAUUGGAGGCGUACAG